UAUGUCUUCUGUAAUCAAUGAAAAUUGGGUUCUUUCUCACCCUAAGAGAACUUAUCUCGUUUAUGUGUUGUUCUGAUUGGGACCACAUCAUUGGUAUCAGAGCAGGGAAUGGCAACAAACAAAUAACAAAUUGAAACCUUAGAGGUCAGUGUUGGAGGCCUGCAAGACCGCUUCAGCCAUAUGGAGAACGGAAUGGCGAGCAAACUGUAGGUGAUUGAGGACACUCUCCGACGCUUGACCGAAUCGCUGAAACUGAACAAGGAAGUAUCCAUCAACACUUCCACCGGGCGAAGCACUCUGGAAUGGCUGAAUCGCGAAAGCGGCGCCGAGCGGAAUGACGGACCACGACCUGCGUUCGGUGCCCGACUGGAAACACCGGAGGAACAUGGGGUGUCGCUGGCGGCUUUUCACAUGGAAGGGGAAGCUAAUCAGUGGUGGCAGUGGUUGAAGAAAACGCAUAAGGAAAAAGCCCGGGAGUUGGGCUGGACCGAAUUUGUGGAUGAGCUUUGGGCUUGUUUUAGCCGGACGGAAUGUGAAGACUUUGAUGAAGCCUUAUCCAGAGUGGAGCAGACUGGCUCUCUUCGAGAAUAUCAAAAGGAAUUUGAGCGCCUGGGUAACCGGGUUAGGGGCUGGACCCAAAAAGCUUUAGUGGGUACAUUCAUGGGUGGACUUCAGCCUGACAUUGCUGAUGGAAUCAGGCUGUUUUAGCCCAAAACACUGAAAGAUAUUAUUAACCUGGCUUGGAUGAGAGAAGACUAGUUAGACCGACAGAAACAGUCCAACCGAACUGGGCGGUUCACUCCCAUAGUGCAAUAGAAAACCCAAGUCGUCUCUUCUUCGACUACAGACGCUCCGCCAGCCGCCACCAUGAAACGACUCUCUUGGGACGAAAUGCAGCGGAGACGCGCACAAGGUAUCUGCUUCAAUUGUGAGGAGAAAUUCGUUCCGCACCACCGAUGCCGUCGACCACAACUAUUACUGUUAGAGAGCGGAGAAGAGGAAGACGGGUCAACCGCACAUGAGGAAUCAGGAAUCUCUUUACAUGCCCUUGAAGGAUGGCCGUCCGCUCGAAGUAUGAAGAUUAUCGCCUCCAUUCAACAACAGAAAAUGGUGGUACUUGUGGACAGUGGGUCGACUCACAAUUUCAUAAGUGAGCGACUCACGAGCAUCAUGCGGCCACCUGUGAGUACCGACCGAACCAUUUACGGUCCGAGUAGCGAACGGACUAUCGAUGAAAUGCAGUGGCUGGUUCGAACGAGUUCCAGUCGAGAUGCUAGGUAUCAUUUUUCAUCUCACUCUAUGUGCCCUUCCUUUGAUUGGUUUGGACUUGGUUGUAGGAGUUCAAUGGCUGUCCGAGUUAGGCACCAUAACCUGUGACUGGAGGAAGAUGACGAUGAGGUUCGUUUGGGAUGGCCAAGAACAGAAACUUUGCAGCAUGACUCAGCCGACCAUCCGACCAGCUUCCAGAAAAGAAGUAGAGAAGCACAACAAAAAUAUACCUCGUUUGCCCUCUGCACAGUGGCCGCACCAGAACAGCAAUCGUCUUCCAUCAAUUCAGAGAUGCAAGUCUUAUUGAAAGAAUAUACUGACUUGUUCCAAGAACCUGAGGGGUUACCACCAACCAAAUAAAUUGAACACAGAAUUAUUCUCCGUGAAGGUACAAAACCGAUCAACGUCCGUCCAUUCCGGUAUGCACACUUUCAAAAAACUGAAAUUGAAAAGCAAGUUAACAACAUGCUUGAUUCUGGUUGAUCAGACUCAGCACCAGUCGAUUUUCCUCUCCAGUGUUGUUAGUGCGAAAAAAGGACGAGACAUGACGAUUUUGUACAGAUCAUAGAGCACUCAAUUAUGCCAUUGUGAAAGAUCUGUUUCCCUUUCCUACAGUAGAUGAUAUGCUCGAUGAGCUUCAUGGAGCUAAAUUCUUUACCAAGCUCGAUUUAACUGUCGGUUAUCAACCAAGUCAGAGUUCAUCCUUCAGAUGUGUAUAAAGCAGCUUUCCGGACACACAAUGGACACUAAAGAAUAUAUAGUCAUGCACAUUCGGGUUGUGCAAUGCUCCUUCCACCUUCCAAGCCAUCAUGACUUCCAUAUUCCGAUUCUAUUUAUUAGCACUUGGAUUUGCAUCUUGAUCACGUCAAGCAGGCUCUAGACAUCUUGAGACAACAUUGCUUCUUCAUCAAAUAGAAGAAAUGUUUUUUUGGGCAACAGGAACUUGAGUAUUCGGGACAUAUUAUCAUUUCACAAGGAGUCAAAGUUGAUCAAGCUAAAAUCAAGGCAAUGGAAUCAUGGCCCCGACGAACCAACAUCUCUGAACUACGGAGUUUUUUGUGACUUACUGGUUAUUAUAGAAAAUUUGUCAAAAAUUAUGGAAUGAUAGCUCAGCCAUUGACUAACCUCUUAAAGAAAGGUCAAUUUGGGUGGAAAGAAGUAGCGGAAUAUGCCUUUGAACAACUCAAACAGGCUCUUUCAAUAACUCCUCCAUUGGCAUUACCAGACUUCAACAUUCCUUCAAUAGUUGAAACUGAUCCUUUAGGUGACGGUAUUGGGGCUGUCUUUUCACAAAACAGGCACCCAAUAGCUUAUAUGUAAUUAUUCCGAAAAUAUUUAAAGAAA